rnacentral:lncRNA from 1 species
CUUUUAUCCUGCUAUCAUCUCUAACUUCCUCUUUUGCAGAUCAAAGUUAUUUUAGGAAGACAAGGUUCCUGAGCAGAAGGGAAAAUGAGCUUGAAGAUGAGGCUUGAAGGAGAAAGAAGGGCUGGGGAGAAAUAUGCAUAUACAGGAGCUACCUCUCAAGUCAUUGACUUCCACUCAAGAAAACAGAACAUGAGGAAACCAUCCAAUAAGAAGGCAAGUCUCUUCAUAAACCUUUCAAGAACAUCUUUUGGUAGGACUAUGUCAAACAUUUUUUUUUUUUUUUUGUCAAACAUUUUUGUGUAG